CCUCCCCAACAUGGCCGCCACGUAGGCACGUUGGGUCGUACGGCUGCUAUAGCACGCUGGCUUUCUCAUAUCUAUGGUCAGAACCGCUACACACGUUUCCAGCUGCGUUAACACUAAUGACCAGCUAUUUGGAAAAAAAACUCUCUAUGAUGCUCCAAGAUGCCGCCAGAACACCCUGCUCUUUCUAAGGUGCUAGCAUUGACACAUCAGCGUGAUGGAAGAUUCCAGUAGGGGUCCAACAGUUCAAAUGGUGGAGACAGAUGGUCGCCUCACCAAAUCUUAGAUCUGUUUGAGGUUUUGUCCUUGGCUCCAGCCAGCAGACACCCCAGUCCCUCAAUGCCAAUCCCCCUGUUGAUUGCAUGCUUCGGUGGAGGCGGAGCCCCCGAUAGCCUGGCACACGCAUGGUUGAAAUUCCCCAGUGGUUCCCCGCACUGGCGCCAGCGGAGUCAAAAAGAGACAGUCCAAUGAGAGAGAUGGUGGGGGCGAUGGUGAGAGGUCCAAUGAAACGCAUGAAGAUGCCAAUGAGGCCAGAGAAACCAAUAAACACCUGUAAGAGUGAGCCCACCAUAAUGGACCCCUGGAGCUGGAGACAAACAUGUGAUUUUGCCUGGGUACAUGCUUGUGUUUUCUUGACCUACUUGAAUACCAAGAAGGAUACACAAGUACCAAGGUGGUACGUCUGUUACGCAGUAAGCCCACUUGCUGCCCUCUUCGUCCAUGGAAGUGUCACUGUCUUCAUCUCCAUGUUUUGUUUCAGGUAGGUCAGAGAAGCGCCCUUCAAGCUUAAAUGCGGGCAAAAUGAUAAAAUAAACAUCUCAGAAAUAUUGUAUACUGUGUAUAACUAAUACACGAUCAAACUGCUAAUAAGCAGUUUGUGACACUCAACAAUCACAAAAUUACGAAGAAUAUUUUUUUUCAUGUCCUCUGCAUGUAAAUUAAACGCUAACUUUAAUAGACAUUGUUGGAUGACACAAUUCAUAAAUGAUAUUUUUGCUCGCAUGUACCUCUGGUUACUCCAGCUGCUGCCACCGUUCCAAAAACUUGCAUUUUAGGUUAAUUAAAGACUGGAAUUUAUUAAAAUUAAUGUGAGUGUGAACAGUUGUUUGUGUAUAUGUACCCAGUGAUUGGCUAGUGCCCAGUCCAAGGUGUAGCCCACAGUCAGCUGGGAUAGGCUAUUGCUCGCCAGUGACCCUCAUGAGGACACGCACAAUAGAAUAUGGAUGUUUUCUUAUAAUGUUUAACAGCAGUUUUGUUGUUUUUAUUUUCUGUCCUUUAUAUUUUAACACUACUUUGGUACAGCAAGACAUAAAACCCUCAAAAAGUAUGCUUUUAUACUAAGUAUACAGACAAAUGUAAGAAUAUGUCUGUACUUCUCACACUAUAUGCAGGUAUCGUCAGCACAAUUUAGAUAUACAUUAUACAUAUGCAUCCAUCCAUCCAUCCAUUCUCAAUCCCAGUUAUCCUGUUCAGGGUCACGGGGCGCUGACUUUGGGCAAAAAGCAGACUACAGCCUGAACUGAAUUAUGAUUUGAAUUAGUAAUUUAAUUGCUUAAGAAAUCCUGUGGAAGAGGAAACGUACUCACUGCAAAUGUGUAGUUGUCAAGCCCAUUACUUUCCUUCUCUGGAGCCAUCU